CGUAGAGUGGCGAACGGGUGAGUAACACGUGGGUGAUCUGCCCUGCACUUCGGGAUAAGCUUGGGAAACUGGGUCUAAUACCGGAUAGGAGCCAUCUUUAGUGUGGUGGCUGGAAAGUUUUUCGGUGUAGGAUGAGCUCGCGGCCUAUCAGCUUGUUGGUGGGGUAAUGGCCUACCAAGGCGGCAACGGGUAGCCGGCCUGAGAGGGUGUACGGCCACAUUGGGACUGAGAUACGGCCCAG
rnacentral:rRNA from 1 species